rnacentral:lncRNA from 14 species
GCCUUUCUCACUAUGGAGCCAUCCAUCUUCACUGCUUCGGUCUGGAUUUACUGCCUCAAAUGAUGCAGUUAGCAAUUUACAUGCUUGGGAGUUUCAUGACAAGAGUUAAAUGAUAAAAAUGGGAGAAGA